GGCCAGGCCCGUACAAUGACGGCCUCGACGAAUCCCGCUAGGCCCGAAAGGGAGCAACGGCACUCGAGUUCUCAUGUGAUGCGAUCAGCCUGGCCACU
rnacentral:SRP_RNA from 1 species